rnacentral:lncRNA from 1 species
AUCCCCAUGACUUUCGUAACUUAGUGCCUAGUGUACAUAAAUAUUAGAAAAAUUACAGUUUCACCUUCUCAACUUUCGACAAUUCCCAUAUGCACCCCCUCAUCUUUAAAAAUUUCAAAGAGGCCUUUCAAAAUUUCAAAGUAUUCCAAAGUGGUCUUUGCCGUUCAUCUCCAUUAAUAAUAGAGUGGUGGCAUGUAACUAUCAUAUAAAUAACA